rnacentral:lncRNA from 1 species
AGUUUUUGUGCUUUUGCUUUGUGAUCCCUUUGGUAUGUUGAGUCAAUUGGGGGUUUGUCCCAAUGGCUCAUUGAUUUUGUUAUAUAGAGGCUAUGUCAGACUAGUGUAUUGUUGGGUUGGUUUGUGUAUAAACAUUCCAUAUAUGUACAGUCGAACGAUAUUCCGUGCCAUGUGCUAUGUGAUAUGAUAUGUACUUAUAUAUAUAUCCUUAGCGUAGCGUGUAUGUUG